rnacentral:rRNA from 1 species
AACGAACGCUGGCGGCGCGCCUAAUACAUGCAAGUCGAACGAGAAGCUGUAGCAAUACAGUUGUACAGUGGCGAACGGGUGAGGAAUACAUGGGUGACCUACCCUCGAGUGGGGAAUAACCAGCCGAAAGGUUGGCUAAUACCGCGUACGCUUCCCAGUCUACGGGUUGGGAAGGAAAGCGAUGCCGUGGGUAUCGCGCUCAAGGUUGGGCUCAUGUCCUAUCAGCUUGUGGUGGGGUAACGGCUCACCAAGGCAACGACGGGUAGCUGGUCUGAGAGGACGAUCAGCCACACUGGCACUGCGACACGGGCCAGACUCCUACGGGAGGCAGCAGUAAGGAAUAUUGCGCAAUGGGCGAAAGCCUGACGCAGCGACGCCGCGUGGGGGAUGAAGGUCUUCGGAUUGUAAACCCCUUUCGGGAGGGAAGAUGGAACGAGCAAUCGUUCGGACGGUACCUCCAGAAGCAGCCACGGCUAACUUCGUGCCAGCCGCCGCA